CAUAUAAGAGGUAACGCCUGCCCAGUGACCAUGUGUUCAACGGCCGCGGUAUUCUGACCGUGCAAAGGUAGCGUAAUCACUUGUCUUUUAAAUAAAGACUAGUAUGAAUGGCAUCACGAGGGUUCAACUGUCUCCCCCACCCAAUCAGUGAAACUGAUCUCCCCGUGCAGAAGCGGGGAUAAAACCAUAAGACGAGAAGACCCCAUGGAGCUUUAAACUAAAGGCACUAGCUCUUAAUUUACCCCAAGGACAAAACAUUAAACCAGUUAAAGUGACCUGUCGUUUCGGUUGGGGCGACCACGGAGAAAAACAAAUCCUCCGAGAUGAAAGGGGUAAACCCUUAGCCAAGACCCACAAUUCUAAGCAAUAGAACAUCUAACGCACCGAUCCAAUCAAAUUGAUCAAC
rnacentral:rRNA from 1 species